rnacentral:lncRNA from 1 species
AUGCAAUCGUUGAAGACCAGCUAAUUUUGUUAUCUUGUUGCUCACCUAGAAUGAUGCCACAUGCAUGGGUUGCCUAAAGAAUUGCUCUAACCUUUAAAUUUCAUAACAAUUUGAUAGGAGUCAUAACAUACAUUGUCUUCCUAUGACAUAUGGCAGAUAGUUGUAUUAAGAGUGCUGCUGCUAAACCCCACAAGUGAUUGGAAGCCAGUCAAAUGUUGAGAAGAUGAUGCUUUGACUCAGUAAUUUCCACACCUAUAGAAACUUCUACUUGUCGGAGAGUGUCUCACAGGGAACCUUCCGAUACUUAAGUUAGCCG